CCUACGGGAUGCAUCAUUUGUUAAUAUUGUACAAUUUACUAAACCCUUAUCCAGCGACGCCUCGUGCGGGAAGAAGGUUUUCGGAUUGUAAACCUCUGUCAGUGGGGACGUUAAUGACGGUACCCACGGAGGAAGCCACGGCUAACUACGUGCCAGCAGCCGCGGUAAUACGUAGGUGGCAAGCGUUGUCCGGAAUUACUGGGUGUAAAGGGAGCGUAGGCGGGAUGUGAAGUCAGAAGUGAAAAUUAUGGGCUCAACUCAUAACCUGCUUUUGAAACUGAUAUUCGUGAGUGAAGUAGAGGCAAGCGGAAUGUCUAGUGUAGCGGUGAAAUGCGUAGAGAUUAGGAGGAACACCAGUUGCGAAGGCGGCUUGCUGGGCUUUUACUGACGCUGAGGCUCGAAAGCGUGGGGAGCAAACAGGAUUAGAUACCCGAGUAGUC
rnacentral:rRNA from 1 species